UGACUAUGGCCCCCCUCCUGUGUGACUGUGUCCCCCACUCCUGUGGGACUAUGGCCCCCCUCCUGUGUGACUGUUACCCAUUCCUGCGUGACUGUGUCCCCCCCCUGUGUGACUUUGUCCUCCGCCCCUCCUGUGUGACUGUGUCCCCGACUCCUGUGUGACUGUGUCCCCGACUCCUGUGUGACUGUGUGUCCCCCACUCCUAUGUGACACUGUGUCCCCCAUUCCUGUGUGACUAUGGCCCCCCUCCUGUGUGACUAUGGCCCCCCUCCUGUGUGACUGUGUCCCCCACUCCUGUGGGACUAUGGCCCCCCUCCUGUGUGACUGUCACCCAUUCCUGCGUGAUUGUGUCCCCCCCCCUGUGUGACUGUGUUCUCCGCCCCUCCUGUGUGACUGUGUCCUCCCCCCCUCCUGUGUGACUGUGUCCCCGACUCCUGUGUGACUGUGUCCCCGACUCCUGUGUGACUGUGUGUCCCCCACUCCUGUGUGACACUGUGUCCCCCAUUCCUGUGUGACUAUGGGCCCCCUCCUGUGUGACUAUGGCCCCCCUCCUGCGUGACUGUGUCCCCCACUCCUGUGUGACACUGUGUCCCCCAUUCCUGUGUGACUAUGGCCCCCCUCCUGUGUGACUGUCACCCAUUCCUGCGUGACUGUGUCCCCCCCACUCCUGUGUGACUGUGUCCCCCCCUCCUGUGUGAAUGUGUGCCCCCUGCAGUGUGUCCAUGUACCCAACACUUGUGUGCAUGACCAUCUCCCCUCCUGUGUGUCAGUUGUGUGUGUCUCCUAUAGUGUGUGUGUUAAUUGUGCGUGCCCCCUCCUGUUUGUGUGUUAGUGGUGUGUGAGAAGAGUGUGCCACUGUGGAGAUCACCUGCAAUUAAAUUUGCCAGCCAGACCCUGGAAGUGUGACAGCUUGAACACGGAAUGAGGAACCACCCAGAGCUGCAUAAGGCAUUUGACUACAGCACCCAACAGAUACUGCUGCCUUGUAUUUCUAUAGCCCAGCUUUUAAAUGUAUAGAAGGAAUGCAAAACCUACGAAAUUAAAGGGUUCUUUGUUUAUCAUAAGGACACCAGUCUAGCCAACUCUGUAAUGGAAAACUGUAUGAAAACACAAAAAUGUGAACAGAAGCUAUGAAGAUGACAAGACAGUGACAGGAAUGGCGGAACUUGAGAGGGCCUGUCCUAGGAAGGAGACUGGGAGCAAUGAAAGUACAACUAGAAAUCUCUUUUGGGUCAUCAUCUGAUACAUCAUCAUUGCCUAUAUCCGGACCAGAACUGGACAUUAAUUGGUGCAGAAAAAUCGUGGUGAUUAAAGUCUUCGAAAUCCAUCAGCUUAUCACCUCCAGGAGGAGGACACCGUAAUCUAAUGAGGAACCCGCAAUUGGACAUUUGAAUUACAUCAAAGAUAUCCAAGGGACUUCACCUCUAACGGGUUUGGUAAAGUUGGUUGGUCAGACUGCGCAGUCAGUCUAUUUCCAUCUAAUUCACCCAUCUGCAUAUCCAGUUUAUUCUAUAGGAACGGACUUUACACUACAGGCAAUUAAUUUUGAGACCCUCAUUAUUUUAAUUCAUUUGUUUUAUGAGCUUGGUAUAUUUGUUCUUAAUUACGGCCUAAAUUGCCAUUAUAUUAAAUGUGAAGUUUUUAUCACUCAAUCCUUCAUGUGUUACUAUUAUAUUAGCGCUGCUACUGUUCGUUUUUCUUUCUUUGUUAUUUGUUGGGUGUGACUACCCCAUUAGGUGUAGCAGCAGCAUUAGAGGUGCAGCACCGUUAGCGCCCGAUCUUUUACCUGUUGGUAAAAUCUAUUCAUACAACUUCAGAAUUGUCUGCUUGAUGGAUUGGUAUCUACCUGUAUGCUUUGAUGUAAAAUUUCAAUAAAAAAAAUCUAAAAAAAAUAAAAUGCUACACUUCUGUCCAUAUUCAGUAAGUAUUGCAAAUUCUGCUAAGUAGCAGAAUUUGCAAUCCUUGUGUUAGCAUGCUGGGGGGCGCCCAUCGCAGGGCAAGGCCGACCAACAUGCAGCCCCCCCCCCC